CGAUACCAGAGAUGCUUGCUAACUGGCAAUGUGGCGCACGGGUGCGUAACGCGUAUGCAACCUACCUUAAUCACCAGGAUAGCCUCUCGAAAGAGAGAUUAACACCGCAUAACAUCAUGCAUCGUAGAAUGAUCAAAUAUUUAUAGGAUUAAGAUGGGAGCAUGCGUGACAUUAGCUAGUUGGUGAGGUAACUAGGCUCACCAAGGCUACGAUGUCUAGGGCUGAUCUGAGAGGAUGACCCCCCACACUGGUACUGAGACACGGACCAGACUCCUACGCCAGGCAGCAGUAAGGAAUAUUGGUCAAUGGAGGCAACUCUGAACCAGCCAUGCCGCGUGCAGGAAGACGGCCCUAUGGGUUGUAAACUGCUUAAAUACGGGAAUAAACCUCUCUACGUGUAGCCAGUUGAAUGUACUGUAAGAAUAAGGAUCGGCUAACUCCUAGCCAGCAGCCGCGGUAAUACGGAGGAUCCAAGCGUUAUCCGGAUUUAUUGGGUUACGAGGGUGCGUAGGCGGCCUAUUAAGUCAGGGGUGAAAGACGGUGGCUCAACCAUCGCAGUGCGGUUGAUACUGAUGGGCUUGAUUACACUUGAGGUAGGCGGAAUGUGACAAGUAGCGGUGAUAUGCAUAGAUAUGUCACAGAACACCAAUUGCGACCACAGCUUACUAAGGUGUCAAUGACGCUGAGGCACGAAAGCGUGCGAUCAAACAGGAUUAGAUACCCUGGUAGUCCACGCCCUAAACGAUGAAUACUCGAUGUUAGCGAACAGUUAGCGUCAAAGCGAAAGCAGUUAAGUAUUGGAUACCUGGGGAGUACGCCCGCAAGGGUGAAACUCAAAGGAAUUGACGGGCCUGCGCACAAGCGGAGGAGCAUGUGGUAUAAUUCGAUGAUACGCGAGCUACCUUACCAGGGCUUGAAAGUUAGUGAAUGAUCUAGAGAUAGGUCAGUGAGCAAUCACACGACACUAGGUGCUGCAUGGCUGUCUGGCGCUCGUGCCGUGAGGUGUUGGGCAGCGUCCCGAAACGAGCGCAACCCCUAUGUACCGGUUGCCAGCAUGUCAUGGUGGCCACUCUAAACAGACUGCCUGUGCAAACAGAUACUCGGAGGGCACGACGUCAAGUCAUCAUGGCCUCUUACGUUUCAUGGCUACACAGACGUGCUACAAUGGGCAGCACAGACUGGGCAGCUACCUGGUAACAGGAUGCCAAUCUCAAAGGUUCACAGUUCGGAUAGAGGUCUGCAAGCUCGACCUCUUGAAGUUGGAUUCCGCUAGUAAUCGCAGAUCAGCAAUGCUUGCGGUGAAUACGUGCUCGGGCCUUGUACACACCGGGCGUCAAGCCAUGCAAGUUGGCCGUACCUGAAGUACUGUAACCGUA
rnacentral:rRNA from 1 species